rnacentral:tRNA from 1 species
CCUAAAAAGUCCCUAAACAC